rnacentral:tRNA from 1 species
AUUAAUAUGCCUGAUUAAAGGGUUAUUAUGAUAUAAUAAAUUAAAAAAUUUAAAUAUUUUUAUUAAUA